rnacentral:rRNA from 1 species
CGCCUGCCGGCGACCGGCGCACGGGUGAGUAACACGUAUGCGACCUGCCCCCGCAGGGGGAUAACCGGGAGAAAUCCCGACUAAUACCGCGUAACGCCGCGGACCUGCAUGGGUCUGCGGCCAAAGGAAGCGAUUCCGGCGGGGGAUGGGCAUGCGGCGCAUUAGCUAGUCGGCGGGGUAACGGCCCACCGAGGCGACGAUGCGUAGGGGUUCUGAGAGGAAGGUCCCCCACACUGGUACUGAGACACGGACCGGACUCCUACGGAAGGCAGCAG